rnacentral:rRNA from 1 species
UACGUAGGGUGCAAGCGUUAAUCGGAAUUACUGGGCGUAAAGCGUGCGCAGGCGGUUUUGUAAGUCAGAUGUGAAAUCCCCCGGGCUUAACCUGGGAACUGCGUUUGAAACUACAAGGCUAGAGUGUGGCAGAGGGGGGUGGAAUUCCACGUGUAGCAGUGAAAUGCGUAGAGAUGUGGAGGAACACCGAUGGCGAAGGCAGCCCCCUGGGGUUAACACUGACGCUCAGGCACGAAAGCGUGGGGAGCAAACAGG